AUUGAACGCUGGCGGCAGGCCUAACACAUGCAAGUCGAACGAGUGGCGGACGGGUGAGUAAUGUCUGGGAAACUGCCCGAUGGAGGGGGAUAACUACUGGAAACGGUAGCUAAUACCGCAUACCAUCGGAUGUGCCCAGAUGGGAUUAGCUAGUAGGUGGGGUAACGGCUCACCUAGGCGACGAACCUUAGCUGGUCUGAGAGGAUGACCGGCCACCCGGGAACGGAGAACCUGCCCAACCUCCGACGGGAGGCAGCAGUGGGGAAUAUGGCAGAAGGGGGAAAGGCCUGAUGUGUCCAUGCAGCGGGAAUGAAGAAGGCCUGCGGGUUGUAAAGUACUUUCAGCGAGGGGGCGUUACUCGAAGAAGAAGCACCGGCUAACUCCGUGCCAGCAGCCGCGGUAAUUC
rnacentral:rRNA from 1 species